AUGGACGCAAGUCUGAUGGAGCAACGCCGCGUGAGUGAAGAAGGCUUUCGGGUCGUAAAACUCUGUUGUUGGAGAAGAAUGGUCGGCAGAGUAACUGUUGUCGGCGUGACGGUAUCCAACCAGAAAGCCACGGCUAACUACGUGCCAGCAGCCGCGGUAAUACGUAGGUGGCAAGCGUUAUCCGGAUUUAUUGGGCGUAAAGCGAGCGCAGGCGGUUUUUUAAGUCUGAUGUGAAAGCCCUCGGCUUAACCGAGGAAGUGCAUCGGAAACUGGGAAACUUGAGUGCAGAAGAGGACAGUGGAACUCCAUGUGUAGCGGUGAAAUGCGUAGAUAUAUGGAAGAACACCAGUGGCGAAGGCGGCUGUCUGGUCUGUAACUGACGCUGAGGCUCGAAAGCAUGGGUAGCGAACAGGAUUAGAUACCCUGGUAGUCCAUGCCGUAAACGAUGAAUGCUACGUGUUGGAGGGUUUCCGCCCUUCAGUGCCGCAGCUAACGCAUUAAGCAUUCCGCCUGGGGAGUACGACCGCAAGGUUGAAACUCAAAGGAAUUGACGGGGGCCCGCACAAGCGGUGGAGCAUGUGGUUUAAUUCGAAGCAACGCGAAGAACCUUACCA
rnacentral:rRNA from 2 species